rnacentral:rRNA from 1 species
GAUGAACGCUGGCGGCGUGCCUAAUACAUGCAAGUCGAGCGAACAGACGAGGAGCUUGCUCCUCUGACGUUAGCGGCGGACGGGUGAGUAACACGUGGAUAACCUACCUAUAAGAUUGGGAUAACUUCGGGAAACCGGAGCUAAUACCGGAUAAUAUAUUGAACCGCAUGGUUCAAUAGUGAAAGACGGUUUUGCUGUCACUUAUAGAUGGAUCCGCGCCGCAUUAGCUAGUUGGUAAGGUAACGGCUUACCAAGGCAACGAUGCGUAGCCGACCUGAGAGGGUGAUCGGCCACACUGGAACUGAGACACGGUCCAGACUCCUACGGGAGGCAGCAGUAGGGAAUCUUCCGCAAUGGGCGAAAGCCUGACGGAGCAACGCCGCGUGAGUGAUGAAGGUCUUCGGAUCGUAAAACUCUGUUAUUAGGGAAGAACAAAUGUGUAAGUAACCAUGCACGUCUUGACGGUACCUAAUCAGAAAGCCACGGCUAACUACGUG